UUUACGGAGUGGUUACCGAGUGUGAGUUCCCUCGGUAAAAUUGAAUUAAACACUGUUCAUAGACGUCUUCCUCAUUUCCCUCCCCAAAUUGAAAGCCCUAGCUACUUUCUCACCCCUUUUCGCCGCUGUCGUCCGCCACCCCACCACCCUUUCCCCCCGUCAGCUUUCGCCGUCGUCCCUCCGCGCGCCGCUCGCCGCUGUUGCUGCUACUCUGGUUCAGAAGGAGUCACCAGUAGGUUUGGCAACAGAAUCAGCUCAUCCUGGGAAGGGAGAUUUUACAGAGCACUGUUAAUUGGUAACUGCUUGAAGCUGUAUGUAACAGUUCUUGCACAAGGUCUCCGAAUCUGGAAGCAGCAGUUGUUUGGGAGAUAUUCAGCUCAGGAACCAGCAGGAGAUUGGAGAUUUUGAGAACUUGUGAGAAGUAUAGGAAGAAGCCAAGAAUAAGAAAAGAGAUUGAAAGAUUGUGAGCAGAGAGUUCGAUUGGAGGAGUCACUUCGGGUAACUAAUGAGAUGCUCCAGCAGUUCUUGAGGUCCCAGCAGUCGAGGAGUAGUGGCUCAGGAGGUUCUUAGCUUUCUCGUAGUAUGUUUGGUACAUUUUGAUACAUUAUUAUGAUAUUUCGCUUAGAUGUAGUUUAUUUAGUACUUUUUAUGUUAUUGUGUUAUUUACAUAUAAACAUAUUGUUGGAUAUUGAACAAUGUCGAAUGAAUUUUAAAUUAUGUUUAGAUUA